AAAGCUAUAGUCUAUGCUUAAGAUAUGUAAGUUGCAUUUACAAGAUGUUAUAAAACUAGUUUUA
rnacentral:tRNA from 1 species